UACGAAGGGGGCUAGCGUUGCUCGGAAUCACUGGGCGUAAAGGGCGCGUAGGCGGCGUUUUAAGUCGGGGGUGAAAGCCUGUGGCUCAACCACAGAAUGGCCUCGAUACUGGGACGCUUGAGUAUGGUAGAGGUUGGUGGAACUGCGAGUGUAGAGGUGAAAUUCGUAGAUAUUCGCAAGAACACCAGUGGCGAAGGCGGCUCACCUGGCCCGGUACUGACGCUGAGGUGCGAAAGCGUGGGGAGCAA
rnacentral:rRNA from 1 species